GACCACGUGGCCUAGUGGACAAGGCGUCUGACUGCGGAUCAGAUGGCUGAGGGUUCGAGUCCCUCCGCGCUUG